CAGGCUGCCGGUUGAUCCGUCUUGUGUCUGCAAUAACCCGAACGUAGUCUAGUAAGGUUUGCUCAAGUGAGAUGGAAAAUGAAGAGGUCGGCUCCAAAACAAGCUUGUGACUGCUUUGCUUUGACAGAGGGAGAUGCAAAUAAAAGAGGAUUGGUGACUUCUCCACCAGCUGCUAUUGGCCGUCCGGACCUCUUUGGGUUGCAGUGUUAGAUGUGCUCUUGUAUGGGAACUGUUGAAUCACGGCCUGAACCUCUGAUUGACC